AUGCAUGCCCGCAGAGUUGCACACUCUUGCCGGUAUAGAAGCACAUGCCCGGCCGUGGAGUUGCACGCUCUUGUUCGAGUAGUCACGCAUGCACUCCUGCGGAGUUGCACACUCUUGUCGACUCUUGUCGGCAUAGGAGCACACGCCCGGCCGCAGAGUUGCACACUCUCGUCCGCGUACGUAGUCGCACACACACGAUCACGGAGGUGCACACUCACUUCCAAGCAGUCGCACACGCACGGCCACAGAGGUGCACACGGGUCUGCAAACCGUUCUUCUCGGCAGAAUUCGAAACGGCAUGCUGAUCGGCAGUCUCGUCGUGUUGAUAUCGAUAGGGAGGUAGAGGAUGAUGAGGUUGGUGACCAAUUCUGCAUUGUGAAACGAUGGAAAUGGAAGGCGGCCGCGCUGGUGGGAGUUGUGUAUGAAGAUGGCACAUCGUUUGCAACAGUUGUUGAGAUGCCAACUACUGAAAUUCAGACCCCACAAGUAGAUGGAUAUGGCAUUGCACGAAAAUCAGUUAAAAGAGCACAAGUACCAGAUCUCCCCGUUUUAAUCUCUGUUUAUGCUAUCUUCAACAACUAUGGAGAAGCUACUUUUGCAAAGAGAAAUUUGGUGAGGGAGAAAGGGAAAGGCAAGGAGGAAGGACCUGAACAGGAGGAGAAAGGAUCACCUCUUUUUCCACCCUUGCUGGUGCCUACUGCCUGCUCUAGCAAUGGAGAUCCAGACAUGAAAACCCCUUUGUUUCAUGGAUCGUGGUGCGCCGUUGGGGUGGUGGGAGCGGCGCCCAGACGAAUAAGUCUGCCUCAGCUUCACUCCCACACCGGCAGUGUCGUUCAUGGUGGCGUCUCGGAGUUGAUGGCAUCGUGUGAUUGCCUAUCCUUCGGAUCGGUUCUGUUAGGGUUCAUGGAUGAUGUCGGCGAGGCAGCGACGGCGACUCCAUCAGGUGUGUCUCUCCUUCCGCUCUGUCCCCGUUGCUGUGGCGUUGUCUCCAACGUCAUGGUGGAGCAGAGAGGUUUUGUCAUCCAGGAGUACGCGCAGACGGCUGUCUGCGCAAGUGACAGCUGGAAGAUGGUGCAUCCCGUGCUGGGUUUGUGGUUGGUGGCUGAUAGUUCUGGUUUCCUCCUUCGACGUCGUUGUCGUGCUGGGGUGUCUGAUCUAGAGUUCGAUGGCGUGUCCGGGGACAUGUUGCCCCGGUCCGAUUCUUUCAACGGCAAUGGUUUUGCUUUUGACAAACUACUUUCGAGGUCCGUAAAGCUGCUGAUCAGCGAUGGAGCCGCGUUGAGCUCGGGUGAAGAGCCAUGGUACAUACCUGUGCCGUGGCAUGCCUCCUACGGUCCUAUCUCGUACGGCGUCCUGGUCUUUCUUGCGGGGCCAGUGGGCCAGCCUGCGAAUUUAACACCAGCCAAUACAACCAACGAUGGCCUGGAUACCGAGCCCACUGAGCGCCGUCCUCCGAAACAAUUUCGGCUGUCGCGGCUCACUAGCGCGUUGGCUAAGGUCGUGGGCCAGCGGACGAACGCGACGGCCCAGUCUGGGAAUAAACUAACGCAGCCCCUGGAAACCGGCCUGCCACUAACUGACCGAAACGGGCGGCCGGCCCGUGGCCGUUCGAUCGCGCGAGCGAUCGCUCCCAGAUCCGCCAGGUGCCACCUGGUCGCGCACCGCGGUCGUGGGCGGUUUUGUCCGCAUCCGGACGUGGGAGGCCCACCUUGUGCUCUCUCUCCCCAUUCCUUCAUCGUCUUCCUCCUCGCCAUCCUCUUCACCGAACGGGGCGUGGCGGGCGGAGUGCUCAGAUUUGACGGCGGCUUGCGGGUGGUUCUCCUCGCCGGGGAAUCGCUGGUGCUCCUCGCCGCCGGAGGUAUGCUCUCCCUCCACUUCUACAUGCUUCUCCUCCCUUUCUCUAUCUCGCGGAGCGCGGAUGGUGCCGAAAUGCGAGAAGAAUGCUCUCUAGGGUUCGGGAACGGCGCGAACUACCCCCGCUUAUCUUCGAUUUCCUGCGAUUUUAGGGCGAUUUUAGGGCGAGGGGAAUGCGAGGUCACGUUGAGUUCCGUUCUCCCAUCUCGCAGCACGCGCCCAACGGUGGUCGGGAUCUACAAGGUAUUACUUGUCACAGUUGGCAAGGCAAAAAUGGUUAUAAUAGGAGGAGAUGCGGGUGGCAAUCAAGGAGAUCGUUCUGGAAGUCAGCCUCUUCGCCGGAACUCGAAGCGUCCUGCUAAUCGCCAGCCACGACCUGCACAGAGUGUUGAGCAGGGAGAGGAUGUUGAGGAUGCUGAACAGUUCUGUGUUGUAAAGCGGACUAGACGUGCAGCACUUGGCAAGGGAGCUGAGUCAUCUUCUAGGGCAGCAGUUGCUGGAGAAGCUGUCGCAUCUUCCGCAGCAGAUGCUGAGGGCAGCGGUGAAGGAGUUGAGGUGCCUCCAGGGGAAGAUGUGGAGCGACCAUCACAAGCAGGCAGGAUAAGGGUAUCACCAGCGCGCUUUGCAAAUUUCAACGCCUCUCUAACCCCACUACAGAAAUCAGAGCUAGUUUCGAGGUCGGUCGGGGGGCUAUUGAACUUAUCAGACACACUUCCAGCGGACCUCACUAAGUUCCUGGUGCAGUCCUACCAGCCACAGACCUCUGAAAUGGUUUUCCCAGGAAGGGGAAGGAUCCGUGUCAAUGCUGACAGUGUUCAGAGGAUCACUACAUGGCUCAAGAUGAUUGAGCAUAUGGCUGGAAGAACGGAUGACACAUUCUUUAUGGCCUGGCUUGCGGUUGCCUUCAGCACUUUUCUAGCACCAACCACGGCCUUGAAGCUCAGCCCAAAGUGUUAUGGACUUGUGCUAGAUCAUCAAAUGCUAAAGAAUAUAAACAUCUGCCUCUUUGUAGCAGAACACAUUAACGAAGCUUUCCGGAACAUGGACCAGGAGAAGCAAACUAUUUGUUGCUGCUUGUAUCACUUGAUGAUACUAUACCUUGAUGCGCUCGUACAUGACAUCCCAGUAAGCAACUGCGCGAUACGAUCGAAUGCAUGGGAUAGUACUCUAAUUGCCAAGGUGAUCAAGAAGGAUACUAUCUCUCCUGGUGUGUUCGGCAAAUUGCAACUUAAAGAGGAGUAUAGAGGCACGGAGCAGACACCACUGUUUGGUGGAAUUUUGCAAGCUGAAGCAUUUGUGGCAUCCAAAUUACCAAUAACAUACAAUCCGCAGAAAAAGGCAAAAAUUGCGAAAGUGGUCAAUGAGCUGUGCAAGGCUGUAACUGAACAGGUUGGCACCUUCAUUGAAGAAGUUGCCAAGAUUGAUGACGAGGAACCAGAUAUUGAUCCUUACGUACAGCAGCCAUCAAUGCAAACUGGGGCAUCACGCCGUGCUCCAAAAAGAAAGAGACGGCGGUCAACUAUACAAGAAGAAGAAGAAUUUGUUGAGGAUGAUUCAGAAGAAGAUGAGGAAAUGGAAGCAGCGAUAGAUGCUGACGACGAUGAGGAGACAGAUGCGGAUGAAUCAUAUGAGGAGGACAAGGAUGAGGAUGACAAUGAAGAAGAUGCAGACGAGGAGGAGGAUGAGAAGGAAGAGGAGGAGGAGGAGAAGGAGGAGGAGGAGGAGGACAAACAAGAAGAGGACAAAGGAGAGGAGGAGGACAAGGAAGAAGAUAGUGAUGCAGAGGAGGAGGAAGAAGAAGGUGAGGCCAGAGAGGGGGACGGGGACAAAGGGGCAGCGGUUGAUGGCAGUGAGAGGGGAGAAGACAAAGGCGCAACAGCUGAUGGCAGUGAGAGGGAAGAAGACGAGGAUGAUUAUGGUGAUGAUAAAGGGGGAUCCAAUGGAGGCAGCGACAGCAGCGAUGACGAUGAUGAUGACAACGCCCCUGGUUCUGGUGGUACAGGUGGCAACACAUCCAGGAGGACUAGCACUCAUGCCAACCCUGCGAGCAGCAGCAAUUCAUUGAGUAGCAGGAGCACACUACAGAUGUUGAUUGACAAGACUUGCUGGAAAGACAAGGAUUUUCCAAAGUCAAAGAAAAAUGACGAAGCAGAGUCUCAGGGCAGCAUUGAUAUGUUCAAGCUCUGCAAUUUGAAGCCAGCUUUGCCAACCACCUUUCCCGUGCCAGAUUUCAGCGACAAAGAUAUGUGUGAAAAGAUCAACUUUGCCAUUGACAAGAGCCUGUUCUUAUCAACUGAUGCUGAAAAGAAUCAAAUUGACAUGGAGGAAGCAGGAAAGGGUCUUGACUGGGUUCAUUCAAAGGAAAAAUACAAGGAAUAUUUAAAGCAGCUCCCAGACCUAAGCUCCAGCAAGAGCAAGGCAGCAUCCACGGCAAACCCUCACGUGGUUCAGAAGCGUAAAGAAGUUUCAAUUAAGAAGAAUCUGCAGUUGCCUCAAAUCAAGGAGAAGAUGGUGAGUGCAGGUGCUGAAGUAAAUAUGAUCAAGAAAGCUGUGCUUCAAACUGAUAUGCCAACAGUAGUGAGCAGAGAGCCAACCAAUGUCAGAGAAGUUCAACAGAUCAAGGGGAAGACUCCCCUUUCAACAGUCCCACCAAAACCACCUAAGCAGAAGAUUAUCAAGUUUGCCAGGGGCGCAAAGGGGGAACAGGCCACAAAAGAUUUGGGGUUCAGAGACGAGAGAGAGCUGCGAGCCGCAGCCAUUGAUGCAGGGGUGCCAAGUUCUGCCAGGUUGCUGCCAACUCAGACUGGAAAGAUGCCAACUACAGAUACCAGUGUGCCAACUGAUGUAGAUGCUUCAAUGCCAAACACAAAAGGAGGUCAUCCAACUGUCAAAGUGUCGUCCCCAAGAGCUAUCUUUCAGCAACCAUUAACACAAGAGGAGGUGUUCGACAUUAUAAGUAGGUGCAAGCCUCCAAGGCCGCCAACUACAACACUAUUGCGAACCAAGUCAGUGAAUGAUGCACCCGUGUUUGUGCUGCAAGGAGAUGCCCUGGUCUUUGAACCCUUACGAAGAUCAAACUCUUAUCAUGGUGACGGGUUCUGCGAUGCACCAUCUUUUGACCUCGGCAUAGAUGGUGAUGCUCCAGCACCUGCUCCAGCAGCAGAAACAGCGGAAGCCGGUGUGAUCAGCAUCGAUGAGUGUGAGUUAUACCCAGCAGCUGUGAAUGAAGGAUGUGAUGCUGCUGAUGCUGGCAAGGCAAUAGCUCAAGAACUAGAUGUUGGUUCACCAGAGAAUUGCCACACCCGGAUAUGCGCAGAACCAGAACUUGGCACGAGCAGUUCUUCGGGGCCACCUCUUGCACGAAGACAGAGGAGGGUAAGAAGGCCCGCAGCAUCUCAAAGGUCUCCAUUCAUCGACUACAACAAGAACAAGACUUUCAGCACCAAUGAGGUAGUGAACAAGCUUUACACUGCCCUCUUGUAUUGGGUCAGGCAUCACAAAGGAGCAGAUGAUGGAGCUACCAGCCCUGAGAUAAUCAGGUAUGGUGCUUUCUACACUUCUUUAAAGGAGUUAGUUGAUUCGAUGAAGCCGGUUCAAUGGUUGUCAAAAAUUGUUAUUGAGACUAGAAUCUUACACAUAAUGGAUAACUUACCAGAAGGGUCAAAGAAGGUUGUUAUGCCACUGAGGUUUUCUAUAAAAUUACAGCAAGGGAUCCACAAUAUGAAUGAGAUGAACAAGAAGUUUGAUUAUAAGAACCGUCUCGACAAGAAAGACUUGGUCAUGCUGCCAGUGCUCGAGUGCGCAGAUGUAACCGAUAAGGACGGAGGGAGGCAUUAUUGGGUCUUUAGUGUCAACUUGAGGGACGGACGCUUCGAAGUUCUUAAUUCAAGCAGAACGCUGGACAACAUUGAGCUAAUGAACAACGCCUCUACCAUUGCGGGGGCAGUACGCCAGCUAUGGAGGAAGCAUUACCCAAAGUUCAGCAUCGAGCACUUCCAUAUUAUUGACAUUGACAUACCAAAGCAGCUUGGCAAUAAUGAGUGUGGGUUGUUCGCACUGCUUAACGCCACCGAGUGGAAUGGUAGCCAACUGCCCAACUACGACCCCAAGGAAGUACUCAACAUCAGGAAGAAGCUGACGUAUGAUUGGGUCACCAGCGUGCACAACACCGCCCCAUGA
rnacentral:rRNA from 1 species